rnacentral:rRNA from 2 species
UUGAAAGGGAAACGAUUGAAGUCAGUCGUACCGACGAGAAAUCAACUUAUCGUGUGCGAACUUGUGGGCGUGCGUGAGUUUCGGCCUCGCUGUUUGCAUGUUUGUGCGUUUUGGGUGUACUUUUUCGUAUGGUAGGCCAACGUCAGUUUCGAUUAUCAUAAAAUGACCGGCGGAAUGUAGCUUCGAUUUCGGUUGAAGUGUUAUAGCCUCUGGUAGAUGUGGUGAUUGAGACUGAGGAUUGCAACGAAUACCCUUUGGGCUAUCCGUCUGGCCUCUGAAAGUUGCUCAGGUGCCGAAAGCGUGCUUACGGUUAUCUAAGAUAACGUUCAACAGGUUAGAACGUGAUUACAUUCGUUAAGGAUGUUGACGUA